UGACCGCUGGCGGCGUGCCUACUACAUGCACGUCGAGCGACCAGACGAGGAGCUUGCUCCUCUGCCGUUAGCGGCGGACGGGUGAGUAACACGUGGAUAACCUACCUAUAAGACUGGGAUAACUUCGGGAAACCGGAGCUAAUACCGGAUAAUAUAUUGAACCGCAUGGUUCAAUAGUGAAAGACGGUUUUGCUGUCACUUAUAGAUGGAUCCGCGCCGCAUUAGCUAGUUGGUAAGGUAACGGCUUACCAAGGCAACGAUGCGUAGCCGACCUGAGAGGGUGAUCGGCCACACUGGAACUGAGACACGGUCCAGACUCCUACGGGAGGCAGCAGUAGGGAAUCUUCCGCAAUGGGCGAAAGCUUGACGGAGCAACGCCGCGUGAGUGAUGAAGGUCUUCGGAUCGUAAAACUCUGUUAUUAGGGAAGAACAAAUGUGUAAGUAACUAUGCACGUCUUGACGGUACCUAAUCAGAAAGCCACGGCUAACUACGUG
rnacentral:rRNA from 1 species